rnacentral:rRNA from 1 species
UGUGAGCUCGAUGAGUAGGGCGGGACACGUGGUAUCCUGUCUGAAUAUGGGGGGACCAUCCUCCAAGGCUAAAUACUCCUGACUGACCGAUAGUGAACCAGUACCGUGAGGGAAAGGCGAAAAGAACCCCGGCGAGGGGAGUGAAAAAGAACCUGAAACCGUGUACGUACAAGCAGUGGGAGCCUCUUAAUGGGGUGACUGCGUACCUUUUGUAUAAUGGGUCAGCGACUUAUAUUCUGUAGCAAGGUUAACCGAAUAGGGGAGCCGAAGGGAAACCGAGUCUUAACUGGGCGUUAAGUUGCAGGGUAUAGACCCGAAACCCGGUGAUCUAGCCAUGGGCAGGUUGAAGGUUGGGUAACACUAACUGGAGGACCGAACCGACUAAUGUUGAAAAAUUAGCGGAUGACUUGUGGCUGGGGGUGAAAGGCCAAUCAAACCGGGAGAUAGCUGGUUCUCCCCGAAAGCUAUUUAGGUAGCGCCUCGUGAAUUCAUCUCCGGGGGUAGAGCACUGUUUCGGCAAGGGGGUCAUCCCGACUUACCAACCCGAUGCAAACUGCGAAUACCGGAGAAUGUUAUCACGGGAGACACACGGCGGGUGCUAACGUCCGUCGUGAAGAGGGAAACAACCCAGACCGCCAGCUAAGGUCCCAAAGUCAUGGUUAAGUGGGAAACGAUGUGGGAAGGCCCAGACAGCCAGGAUGUUGGCUUAGAAGCAGCCAUCAUUUAAAGAAAGCGUAAUAGCUCACUGGUCGAGUCGGCCUGCGCGGAAGAUGUAACGGGGCUAAACCAUGCACCGAAGCUGCGGCAGCGACACUAUGUGUUGUUGGGUAGGGGAGCGUUCUGUAAGCCUGUGAAGGUG